AGUGAACGCUGGCGGCAGGCCUAAUACAUGCAAGUCGAACGGCAGCACAGCAGAGCUUGCUCUGUGGGUGGCGAGUGGCGGACGGGUGAGGAAUACGUGGGAAUCUGCCCAGUCGUGGGGAUAACGUAGGGAAACUUACGCUAAUACCGCAUGCGCCCUUCGGGGGAAAGCCGGGGACCUUCGGGCCUGGCGCGAUUGGAUGAGCCCAGUCGGAUUAGCUAGUUGGCGGGUAAAGGCCCACCAAGGCGACGAUCCGUAGCUGGUCUGAGAGGAUGAUCAGCCACACUGGAACUGAGACACGGUCCAGACUCCUACGGGAGGCAGCAGUAGGGAUAUUGGACAAUGGGCGCAAGCCUGAUCCAGCCAUGCCGCGUGAGUGAAGAAGG
rnacentral:rRNA from 1 species